GAUUGCCUUAGUAACGGCGAGUGAAGCGGCAAAAGCUCAAAUUUGAAAUCUGGUACCUUCGGUGCCCGAGUUGUAAUUUGGAGAGGGCAACUUUGGGGCCGUUCCUUGUCUAUGUUCCUUGGAACAGGACGUCAUAGAGGGUGAGAAUCCCGUGUGGCGAGGAGUGCGGUUCUUUGUAAAGUGCCUUCGAAGAGUCGAGUUGUUUGGGAAUGCAGCUCUAAGUGGGUGGUAAAUUCCAUCUAAAGCUAAAUAUUGGCGAGAGACCGAUAGCGAACAAGUACAGUGAUGGAAAGAUGAAAAGAACUUUGAAAAGAGAGUGAAAAAGUACGUGAAAUUGUUGAAAGGGAAGGGCAUUUGAUCAGACAUGGUGUUUUGUGCCCUCUGCUCCUUGUGGGUAGGGGAAUCUCGCAUUUCACUGGGCCAGCAUCAGUUUUGGUGGCAGGAUAAAUCCAUAGGAAUGUAGCUUGCCUCGGUAAGUAUUAUAGCCUGUGGGAAUACUGCCAGCUGGGACUGAGGACUGCGACGUAAGUCAAGGAUGCUGGCAUAAUGGUUAUAUGCCGCCCGUCUUGAAACACGGAC
rnacentral:rRNA from 1 species